rnacentral:rRNA from 1 species
UACGUAUGGGGCGAGCGUUGUUCGGAAUUAUUGGGUGUAAAGGGCGUCUAGGCGGGAGAUUAAGUUAGAUGUGAAAGGCGUGGGCUUAACCCACGAAUUGCAUCUAAAACUGGUUUUCUUGAGUUCGGGAGAGGAGAGCGGAAUUCUUGGUGUAGCGGUGAAAUGCGUAGAUAUCAAGAAGAACACCAGUGGCGAAGGCGGCUCUCUGGCCUAGAACUGACGCUGAAGCGCGAAAGCGUGGGUAGCGAACGGGAUUAGAUACCCGCGUAGUCCCUGAG